AGUGAACGCUGGCGGUAGGCCUAACACAUGCAAGUCGAACGGCAGCACAGGAGAGCUUGCUCUCUGGGUGGCGAGUGGCGGACGGGUGAGGAAUACAUCGGAAUCUACCUUUUCGUGGGGGAUAACGUAGGGAAACUUACGCUAAUACCGCAUACGACCUUCGGGUGAAAGCAGGGGACCUUCGGGCCUUGCGCGGAUAGAUGAGCCGAUGUCGGAUUAGCUAGUUGGCGAGGUAAAGGCCCACCAAGGCGACGAUCCGUAGCUGGUCUGAGAGGAUGAUCAGCCACACUGGAACUGAGACACGGUCCAGACUCCUACGGGAGGCAGCAGUGGGGAAUAUUGGACAAUGGGCGCAAGCCUGAUCCAGCCAUACCGCGUGGGUGAAGAAGGCCUUCGGGUUGUAAAGCCCUUUUGUUGGGAAAGAAAAGCAGUCGGUUAAUACCCGGUUGUUCUGACGGUACCCAAAGAAUAAGCACCGGCUAACUUCGU
rnacentral:rRNA from 1 species